CAGUAGCCGCGGUAAUACAGAGGAUGCAAGCGUUAUCCGGAAUGAUUGGGCGUAAAGCGUCUGUAGGUGGCUUUUCAAGUCCGCCGUCAAAUCCCAGGGCUCAACCCUGGACAGGCGGUGGAAACUACCAAGCUGGAGUACGGUAGGGGCAGAGGGAAUUUCCAGUGGAGCGGUGAAAUGCGUUGAGAUCGAAAAGAACACCAACAGCGAAAGCACUCUGCUGGGACGACACUGACACUAAGAGACGAAAGCUAGGGGAGCAAAUGGGAUUAGAUACCCGUGUAGUCCCUGUCUCUUAUAA
rnacentral:rRNA from 1 species